AGUGAACGCUGGCGGUAGGCCUAACACAUGCAAGUCGAACGGCAGCACAGUAAGAGCUUGCUCUUACGGGUGGCGAGUGGCGGACGGGUGAGGAAUACAUCGGAAUCUACUUUUUCGUGGGGGAUAACGUAGGGAAACUUACGCUAAUACCGCAUACGACCUACGGGUGAAAGCAGGGGAUCUUCGGACCUUGCGCGAUUGAAUGAGCCGAUGUCGGAUUAGCUAGUUGGCGGGGUAAAGGCCCACCAAGGCGACGAUCCGUAGCUGGUCUGAGAGGAUGAUCAGCCACACUGGAACUGAGACACGGUCCAGACUCCGACGGGAGGCAGCAGUGGGGAAUAUUGGACAAUGGGCGCAAGCCUGAUCCAGGCAUACCGCGUGGGUGAAGAAGGCCUUCGGGUUGUAAAGCAGUUUUGUUGGGAGAGAAAAGCAGCAGGUUAAUACGCCGCUGUUCUGACGGUACCCAAAGAAUAAGCACCGGCUAACUUCGUG
rnacentral:rRNA from 1 species